rnacentral:rRNA from 1 species
CCUACGGGUGGCAGCAGUGAGGAAUAUUGGUCAAUGGACGAGAGUCUGAUCCAGCCAAGUAGCGUGAAGGAUGACUGCCCUAUGGGUUGUAAACUUCUUUUAUAUGGGAAUAAAACGUUCCACGUGUGGGAUUUUGUAUGUACCAUAUGAAUAAGGAUCGGCUAACUCCGUGCCAGCAGCCGCGGUAAUACGGAGGAUCCGGCCGUUGUCCGGAUUUAUUGGGUUUAAAGGGAGCGUAGGUGGAUUGUUAAGUCAGUUGUGAAAGUUUGCGGCUCAACCGUAAAAUUGCAGUUGAAACUGGCAGUCUUGAGUACAGGAGAGGUGGGCGGAAUUCGUGGUGUAGCGGUGAAAUGCUUAGAUAUCACGAAGAACUCCGAUUGCGAAGGCAGGUCACUGGACUGCAACUGACACUGAGGCUCGAAAGUGAGGGUAUCAAACGGGAUUAGAUACCCGGGUAGUC